GGAUGUAGCUCAGUCGGUAGAGCAUCGGUCUCCAAAACCGAGUGUCGGGAGUUCGAGUCUCUCCAUCC
rnacentral:tRNA from 1 species